UUUUUUUUUUUUUUUUUUGAGACAAAGUCUCACUUGCCACCACGCCUGGCUAAUUUUUGUAAUUUUUGUAUUUUUGGUAGAGACAGGGUUUCUCCAUGUAGGCCAGGCUGGUUUCGAACUCCUGACCUCAGGUGAUCCACACCCCUAGGCCUCCCAAAGUGCUGGGAUUACAGGUGUGAGCCACCAUACCCAGCAGGUUUAUUUUAUUUUAUGUACUAAAUGAAACAGGUGCUGCUAGGUUCCAUAUUAGACUGACUUUUUUUUUCAGAAUGUGCUGUGAAGUAAAAUCAAUAAUACUUAUUACGAUUAGCAAAGAUUACAAAAACCUCUUUUUCAGAGCUUACUAGGUGGCAAUUCUGAAUUCAGUACUUAUAGGCACCAUCCCAUUAAAUUCUUGUAACAAACAAAGAGGGCAGGAGAUAUUAUUAUGCCCACCUGGUACAGGAACGUUCAGAUCUAAUACAUUUAAGGCAACGUCCAAACUCACACCCUGAGCAAAUGGCAGAGCUAAGAUCCUGGCUCUGUUAGACUGUAACUGCUACAUAUUACAAAAGCACAGAAUAAGCACAAUGUGAGGUCAACAUUGGCAAAUGCCCCAAGAGCAGUCCAGGCCAUUGCUGUGUGGAGAUCAAGGCCAGGUGGUCGUGGGGCUGGGGACAGGCAGCAUUGAGGGAGAGACAUCUAAGCCAGCUUCGGCUGUGAGUAAGAUCCUAAUGAAUAAAUGCUUGAGUGACUUCCAGGCAGCCCUGCUGGAGGUGGGUGUUUUGUGCCAUGCAGCCCUGGUCCUAAAGACCUAGCCUGUCUCCUGCCGAGAUUGCCUUCGGACAAAAGUCCACACCUGCAGGACGGUGUUAUCUGUGCUUGGCUCAGCUCCCCCAUGGCUGCCCUCCAGGCCACCCGCAUUGCACGGAUUUUUGUAAUGGAGGCAACAAAGCAGAAUGUUAAAGAACCCAGAAUUGUGAGGCAAAGCUGAACAGGCUCUUCUCUGCCACUUUCUUACGUAUAAUCUUAGGUCAAUUACUUAUCUCUGAGCCUUAAUCUCCUCAUCUGUAAAAGGGAGAUUAUAGUGUUUAAUUCAUAGGAGUCUGUUAAGAUGCAAUGAGAUCAUGUAAGUCCUUGCAUAGGGUUGCCUCCUAAGGGUAAGAAAAUUGGGGCUAUUCUCUGUUUCAUUAUUUCUUAAAACAGGGAUCAAAGUGGGUAGCAUGAGAACCAAAUACUGCUGGUAGCGACACCAUUUGACUUCUGCAGUGUUUCCGAGAGGCACGCCCUCCCCAGGCCCCUAGGCUCUGACCCUCCCCAGGGUCCUACCCAGCCCAUUCACAGGCACCUGCUGCUGGAUGGGCCCUGGGUGCCCUGUGAGGUUUCAGGAUCCAUUCUCCAAUCUCCCCAGCGAUCUCCCUUUGGAAGGAUAGGUAGGUAGAAAGGAAAAGUAGCAUUCUUUGCAAUAUACCCCAGUUUUGCUGACAAUGUUACCAUCCUCUUCAGAUCCAGUUGUGUGAAGGGCCUCUGUGAUGGGCCGCCUUGUCCUCUGUAUGUGGGAUGUGCCUUCUGCAGGCUGGCUCUGGCAGGAGCACUCGCAGACCCCCGACGCCAGGCCAAGGCCACACGCUGAAUGCUUUAUGUGUAAUCAGUGUGUGCCCAAUGGCAAAUAUCAAAGUUGGUCUUGGGACUUCUGUUUGCUCCUAAUUACUGAUUUAUAGUUUCAAAUGCAUGACUGCUUCCCAAAUACAGCAAGUGAUUAUGGGCAAAGCACCUUGGUCUUUGUCCUUAGGUCUCUCUACAGUAGUCAUUAAAACACAGUCACACGUGGCUUAAAGGCAGGGAUGUGUUCUGAGAACC
rnacentral:lncRNA from 1 species